rnacentral:rRNA from 1 species
UACGUAGGGUGCAAGCGUUAAUCGGAAUUACUGGGCGUAAAGCGUGCGCAGGCGGUGAUGUAAGACAGAUGUGAAAUCCCCGGGCUCAACCUGGGAACUGCAUUUGUGACUGCAUCGCUGGAGUGCGGCAGAGGGGGGUGGAAUUCCACGUGUAGCAGUGAAAUGCGUAGAUAUGUGGAGGAACACCGAUGGCGAAGGCAGCCCCCUGGGUUAGCACUGACGCUCAUGCACAAAAGCGUGGAGAGCAAACAGG